CCUACGGGAGGCAGCAGUGGGGAAUAUUGCACAAUGGGGGAAACCCUGAUGCAGCGACGCCGCGUGAGUGAAGAAGUAUUUCGGUACGUAAAGCUCUAUCAGCAGGGAAGAAAAUGACGGUACCUGACUAAGAUGCCCCGGCUAACUACGUGCCAGCAGCCGCGGUAAUACGUAGGGGGCCAGCGUUCUCCGGAUUUACUGGGUUCAAAGGGAGCGUAGACGGCAGCGCAAGUCUGGAGGGAAAUCCCAUGGCUUAACCAUGGAACUGCUUUGGAAACUGUGCAGCUAGAGUGCAGGAGAGGUAAGCGGAAUUCCUAGUGUAGCGGUGAAAUGCGUAGAUAUUAGGAGGAACACCAGUGGCGAAGGCGGCUUACUGGACUGUAACUGACGUUGAGGCUCGAAAGCGUGGGGAGCAAACAGGAUUAGAUACCCUAGUAGUC
rnacentral:rRNA from 1 species